GAUGAACGCUGGCGGCGUGCCUAAUACAUGCAAGUCGAACGCAUUGUGGUUGAAAUGAUAUGAAGAACUUGUUCAGAUUUGAUUUUCAACAUUGCAAUGAGUGGCGAACGGGUGAGUAACACGUGGGAAACCUACCUCUUAGCAGGGGAUAACAUUUGGAAACAAAUGCUAAUACCGUAUAAUAAUUAAAACCGCAUGGUUUUAGUUUAAAGAUGGUCUUGCUAUCACUAAGAGAUGGUCCCGCGGUGUAUUAGUUUAGUUGGUGAGGUAAUGGCUCACCAAGACAAUGAUACAUAGCCGAGUUGAGAGACUGACCGGCCACAAUGGGACUGAGACACGGCCCAUACUCCUACGGGAGCAGCAGUAGGGAAUCUUCCACAAUGGACGAAAGUCUGAUGGAGCAACGCCGCGUGUGUGAU
rnacentral:rRNA from 1 species